rnacentral:rRNA from 1 species
GUCUAUGGCCAUGCCACCUGAACGUGCCUAAUCUCAUCUGAUCUCAGAAGCUAAGCAGAGUCGAGGCUGGUUUAGUACUUGGAUGGGAGACCACCUAGGAAUACCUGGUGCUGACA